AGCGAACGCUGGCGGCAGGCCUAACACAUGCAAGUCGAACGAACUCUUCGGAGUUAGUGGCGGACGGGUGAGUAACACGUGGGAACGUGCCUUUUGGUUCGGAAUAACUCAGGGAAACUUGUGCUAAUACCGAAUGUGCCCUUCGGGGGAAAGAUUUAUCGCCAUUAGAGCGGCCCGCGUCUGAUUAGCUAGUUGGUGAGGUAACGGCUCACCAAGGCGUCGAUCAGUAGCUGGUCUGAGAGGAUGACCAGCCACACUGGGACUGAGACACGGCCCAGACUCCUACGGGAGGCAGCAGUGGGGGAUCUUGCGAAAUGGGCGAAAGCAUGACGCAGCCAGGCCGCGUGAAUGAUGAAGGUCUUAGGAUUGUAAAAUUCUUUCACCGGGGACGAUAAUGACGGUACCCGGAGAAGAAGCCCCGGCUAACUUCGUG
rnacentral:rRNA from 1 species